GUGAUAUAUACACACGCACACGGCCAUGGCAACACUCACAGGGGGACCGUCGUGUUGAAGAAUUGUGUUCCUGUCAUCGCCGCUUGGUUCGGUGACUCCAGUGCCGCACACUACGCGUAUCAGCAGCAUUCUGACAGACAGCACUGAACGAAGCCUCUGCAAUGCGCUCGUCUCUCCUGGCGCUGCUCAUUCUGGCCACGUCGCUGUCUGCGGCCUCAGCCUCUACUUGUCAGCAGUACUACUGUCAGAUUCCUGCGGAGCAGACCAUUGUCGUGCCCUGCUACAAAUCGUGUGUCUCCAAGGAUGGGCUUGGCCGCUGUAUAGUGGACUUCAACUGUGUGACGGCGUCUUACAGGCGGCGUAAUGUGGACAAGUAAACUCAGUGAUUACAGCCACACCCAUGCACGCCCCUCACGACCAGCCACACCCACGCCCAUCUCGACCUUGCGACACACGCCACGCCUGCCACAGCCGUGCCGGCAUGGAAGGGUAUACAGACACGCACGUAGAAAAAGCCUCAAGAAACUUUUAAUAAAACCCAGGAACAAAAAAUACAGAUUGAUUCUACAUACUAUUAUAAUACUUCUUGGUAACAGUGUAGGCCGUGUAGUAUUACUGGCUUGAUGAUCUGUCUCUCGCCUCUCUUAGUGUUUCUAUAGGGGAGACCGAGGCUAGUUGUUACAAUUUUCGCAUUUUUGCUGCCUCAUGAAAAACUACACGCGAUAAUCUUUGAAAAAAUCCUACUGCUCAAAGUUCAUCAUGUCUAUUAUUGUAAACAUUAAACAGAAACAUUGUAUAUUUUUUCAUUCCUGAGAAAUAUCAAAAUAUGUAGUGUUAACUCACUGUAUGCAACUUGCCCCAUACACGGAGCAUAUUGUUACAGGCCACGGGGUAAGUUGUUAUAGAUGUGAAAUUAAAAAUCUUUGUUAUAAACACCAGUCAGCAAUUCAAUUUAGGUAAUACAGUAAAUAAUUAAGUAAAGAAACAUAAUUUCAGAUCAAGUGGUGACGGGAAAACUUAUAAACAGAACAAAACUUGCUCAAGAUUAGCAAUGAUCUAGCAAGUGCUGAUCCUUCCUCCUUCACGCUGGGCCGGGUGUUGUCACUCCUUUUUUAUUCAACAUUAGAAGUACAAAGGUGGAGUCCAUAACUACCAUUCCCAUUUGUGCUUUUUUCAUGGGACCAUUAUGUGCAUCCCACACCUCGUAACAACUGGCCCUGACCCGAUCUUUAUACUUUCUGACGCAGUUUAGGUCAUGCUUUCUCGAAAAAAAAAGUCUUCACGUAAAUCAAGCUUGAAGACAGUCAUUUCAAAUAACCAAGUAAGCUUUAUUGUGUUAUGUUUUUUGCAAGGUGUAUUAAAAUUUUCUUUAUGGCGAGAAUAAUUACGAAAGCGGUCCAAAAUUGAUUUUCUUGCCCCAGCUUGCAGAGGCUUGUCCGAGAUGGCCUGCAACUAUUGCACAAUGUAGCCGAUGGUGACGCAUGCACGCACCCAGAAGCUCAGUGCCAUCCGUUGUUUUAGGCAGUGAAAAAAGUGUAUCAAAAUAUGUAUGCAACUAUCCCAGGUCUCCCCUAUGUCAAAACGAGUGUGAUUGUAACAUUACAUGCCUUGAAAACACUUCCAUAUCUGCCUUUUUGCCAAUUUCGUUGAAGCGUCCCGCAGGCAGCGCGCCGCCAGGUGUGGAGAGGGAAUGUUUGGCCGCGGCAUUACCCAAACGGCAUCCUGCACUACGCCGCCCAGACUCACCGCUUCUCGUUCAGCGCUUCUGCCCGAUACAAGCUGGCCACCAGUAGAUGAAAGAGGUAUUGCUUGAAAUUCCAGCAGCUUGUGUUGAGCCAGGAGCGCUGAGUGGUAGGCAGUGAGCAGGAGCGGCACAAAACAAAGAUGGCGAGUGGCAUAGCUAUGGGUCAUUCUCGAACAUGUGCCUCCCACAUCUAACAUGGUGGCUUCCCAGGGACGGAAUUCAAAGUGGAAAAUGAUCCCAAAAUAACCACCAUAUUGAUAGCUUCCUCCUCCUCCUCCUCUUCCUCUCCGUUAUUGAGCCCCACCAUCGUGCCCUUCAAGUCCCAGCACCUGCAUCCUGUGCCCCGCCCGCUGGAGCCUCGCCCCGCAGCUGUACGCAGAGCGGUGAUAUAUACACACGCACACGGCCGCAGCAACACUCACAGGAGGACCGUCGUGUUGAAGAAUUGUGUUCCUGUCAUCGUCGCUUGGUUCGGUGACUCCAGUGCCGCACACUACGCGUAUCAGCAGCAUUCUGACAGACAGCACUGAACGAAGCCUCUGCAAUGCGCUCGUCUCUCCUGGCGCUGCUCAUUCUGGCCACGUCGCUGUCUGCGGCCUCAGCCUCUACUUGUCAGCAGUACUACUGUCAGAUUCCUGCGAUGCAGACCUCUGUCGUGCCUUGCUACGAACAGUGUGUCACCAAGGAUCGGUAUGCCAACUGUGUAUUGGACUUAGCGUGUGUGAUUGCGAUUAACAGGCAACGUUGGGUGGGCAAAUGAUCACAGCCACAGCCACGCCUACCGCAGCCUUGUGACACACGCCACAGCCGCCACGCCUGCCGCAGCAGUGC